rnacentral:rRNA from 1 species
AAUAGUACCCUGGUAGUCCACGCCGUAAACGAUGAGUGCUAAGUGUUGGAGGGUUUCCGCCCUUCAGUGCUGCAGCUAACGCAUUAAGCACUCCGCCUGGGGAGUACGACCGCAAGGUUGAAACUCAAAGGAAUUGACGGGGGCCCGCACAAGCGGUGGAGCAUGUGGUUUAAUUCGAAGCAACGCGAAGAACCUUACCAGGUCUUGACAUCCUUUGACCACUCUAGAGAUAGAGCUUCCCCUUCGGGGGCAAAGUGACAGGUGGUGCAUGGUUGUCGUCAGCUCGUGUCGUGAGAUGUUGGGUUAAGUCCCGCAACGAGCGCAACCCUUAUUGUUAGUUGCCAUCAUUCAGUUGGGCACUCUAGCAAGACUGCCGGUGACAAACCGGAGGAAGGUGGGGAUGACGUCAAAUCAUCAUGCCCCUUAUGACCUGGGCUACACACGUGCUACAAUGGGAAGUACAACGAGUUGCGAAGUCGCGAGGCUAAGCUAAUCUCUUAAAGCUUCUCUCAGUUCGGAUUGCAGG